AAAACAUUUGAGAACAUUGUCCUAGCUUAAGGGAUGGUAAUGGUAUACUGAAUUAGUUCUGCAGUUUCAACGCAUUAAGGAUGCAAUGGAACAGAACUUGCAAUUUCUUUUCUUUAUCUUAAUAUUCUUGGCAUAUUGCAGUUAGAUCAAGCUUGUUUUGUAGCUUUUCUUUUUCAGUUCAAUUGUUUAUAGGAGGAGAUCGUGGUUCGAAUUCUACCGAUAAAAGCAUGCAAAACUAUAAUUUGAUAUGACAGUACUUUAGAUGGAAACUUAAUAGCAGCAUAGUUGUAGUGCUAGAGGUAAUUGGCCUUGAAAUUUGUACCCUCAUAUUUGAUUUUGAUAUGUUUGUCAAAUGCAUUUAUGUACGCUGAGUGUUGCAGUUAGAUCCUAAGGUUUGCAGUUUGCCCAUAGGGCCACCUGAGGUGAAUCACCAUCCUUCAGGUGCUUUCCUAGGCACUUCACAGAGGUGCCUGUGAAGCUCCAAACAAUUUAUUUUAGGGGUCUGAUGGAUUUUCUUCGGAACGUUCUAUAGGUCAGCUUUACUAGACCCUUGCAUGUGAAUACUUGGUAAAUAUAUUUUGAACACUGGAUAUGUUGAUAAAAUGACAUCAACCACAUGGAAUCAAGUCAACUUAAAAGGGGAAUCCUAAUUUCCAUUUUCUGUCUCUCUUCCCCAGCAACCUGAUGCAACAAAUUUGGUCAGUUUUUUUGGUUUUUGCUGUUUUCUCCUGCUCCUACUACUUUUUACUGCUUCAGUCCCUUCUGUUUUCUAACCUGUCCCCACAACACCCCCCAACCAAAAAAAGAAAAAAAAGAAAAAAUCAAAAGCUCUUUACCAUUACCUCUAUUAUCUGUUUCUUUUGCAGUGAUUAUAAUCUAAUUUUGUAUAUCUUCUUGCUCAAACAACAAUCUUUGGGUGCUCUUAGUUGAAAUUAUAUUUUUCAAAUAGAGAUUUAAAUUUUGUGAAUUGAGAAUCGAGAAUCGAAUCAUAAGAUUUGAUAAAAGUUCUCAAAAUUAAUUGAAAAUGAU
rnacentral:misc_RNA from 1 species